GAACGAGAAAGUGGAGCAAUCCAUGAGUAAAGUGGCGACCGGGUGAGUAACACGUGACUAACCUGCCCUAGAGUGGGGGAUAACCUCGGGAAACCGGGGCUAAUACCGCAUAACAUCGCGAGGGGAAGAUCCUUGCGAUCAAAGGAGCAAUUCGCUCAAGGAGGGGGUCGCGGCUGAUUAGCUAGUUGGUGAGGUAACGGCCCACCAAGGCGAAGAUCAGUAGCCGGCCUGAGAGGGCGCACGGCCACACUGGAACUGAAACACGGUCCAGACUCCUACGGGAGGCAGCAGUGGGGAAUUUUGCGCAAUGGGGGAAACCCUGACGCAGCAACGCCGCGUGGAGGAUGAAGUCCCUUGGGAUGUAAACUCCUUUCGAUCGGGACGAUAAUGGCGGUACCGGAAGAAGAAGCACCGGCUAACUCUGUG
rnacentral:rRNA from 1 species